GGACAUUCAGAUUACAGUUAUCAGCUUGAGCAUGCUGUUGGGGCCACUAGAGAACUGUCCUGAGAGUGACAUGGUAUUUACACUGUAGGAUCACUUUGAUUGCUUUGCAAAGAAGGACUUGAGAAAGUGGAAGUUGGGGUGGGACACAGCAAUGGAUAAAUGCAGGCUUUUAUUAAUUCAUUCAACAAAUAUGUAUAGAGCAUACACUAUGCACCAGGCACUUUACUAAGGCUGGGAUAAUAUAGUAAGAUAGACAUGGUACCUAAUCUCAUAGACUUUGUAUGGUAGCAGUAGCUUCAAUUUCUAUUGAAAUUCUCUCUAUAUAAAGAGAGACAUCAAACAAGUAAAAAAAAAUGAUGAAUCUUAAAAAAUGCUACAAAGUUAUCAUGAAAGAGAAUAAUGCCUGAUUUCCUCAGUAAUGCAUAAAUCUCCCACUUCCUUUUUUCUUUUUAGUAUUGCCUCAAAUUUCAGCAUAACACACUGGUUAGAUACUAUGAAAUUAUGAUUUCAGGAUUUUCAUGAUAUUUAAAAGGAAAUUUCUAGUGUAGCCCUCGGCUUAAGCGGAUAAAGUAUUAUAUUGAAUGUAAUAAACUUAAGUCUAUAACCCACACACAAAAAUUAGUUUCAUCACUUAACAGUCGUUCUAUCAUACAUAAUCACACAUAAUAUGUACUCAUUUUCUCAACAAAUGUUUAUUGAGCACUUAAAAGUUAGAAGGUCCAGUGCUGUAGUCCAGACAAGAGAUAAUGCUUAGCUUGGACUAGGUUUGGGAAGCGGGAGAAGUAGACACACCAAGAAAAUAUUUAAAAUUGUGGAGGACAGGUGGGAGAAAGAAGUGCCAAGCAUAAUUACUCAGGUUUCGUGCUUACACUGCCAGAUAGAUAAUGGUGCAGUUCAUGAAGUAGGGGGAAGAAACAGUCAACAUUGCUAGUAAUUAAGAGAAAUACAGACUAAAACCAAGAUACCAUUUUCAGCACUCAGACAUAAAGAUUUUUUUAAAAGAUAAUUUGACGCAGAAAGAAGGCUAAUUAUGGAACAGGUAUCCUCACUGUUGGUGAAGCGGAGGGCAUCUGGCAGUAUACCUCAUAAACUUUAAAACAUUCAUACUCAUUGGCUCAGUAACUCCAUGUUAAUACGAAGAGUAAUUUAUGUUAAAGAAAAUUAGACAAAAACUUAAGUGCCCAACUCCAGAGAGCCAGUGAUACAAUUAUCAUAGCUAAAAGAUAGAUUACUAUAUAAUCAUUUAAAGCAGACAGAAACUGGAAGAAUAUUUAAUAAGAUGGGGAAAUGCUUAUAAGAUUAAUAAAAAUGCCAAACAGUAUUGUUUCGGAGGUUAUAGUUUUAUAAUAAAAAAACAGCAUAGGUAAUGUAAAAAAUUACAAUCUAACCAUGAUGUCAGUUACCAAUUAUAGUUAUUUCUAUAGAAUUAUGUUGAUUUUUAUUUUUUCCUUAAUAAAUAUUUCUUUAAGUAUUCUUCAAGGACCUUUAUAUUGCUUUUAUAAUUAAAAUGUUAAAUUUCUAUAAGUUAGUUGAGAAAAUAAUUAUUACUGUGAUGAUUUUUCAGUCUUUCCAGUGUCAGCCUGCCUUUAGCUAAGAUAAUUCCAAUAAUAAAUGGACAGAUCCAUUCAGUUUGCAGUGAAACACCGAGUCAUUUUGUUCAGGAUCUGUUGAUGAUGGAACAAGUGAAAGACUUUGCUGCUAAUGUGUAUGAAGCUUUUAGUACUCCUCAACAACUGGAGAAAUGAUACUUUUUAUCCUUCAAGAAAAAUUACAGUAGGAUUCAUUUACUUUUAAAAAUACACUGAAUAAAUCCAACUAUAUAUAGGGUAAUGAUUUGUUAUCAAAAUGCCUAAUAAAAAUAUAUUCUUAAUCAAACUCUUCAUUUCCCAAUGAAAUAAGAGUUAUUUGGCAUUUUAAUAUUUUUUUAAGUCAUCAACACAUUAGCUAAUUUUGCAGGCAUAUAUGAGUAUACACAGUGCAAAUAUCAAAAUUGUUAAUAAUUUGUAACACCAUGGAUAUUAGUUCCAAACUGACUAAAAUCUAAUAUAGAUACAUUUUUUUAAUAUAAGAUGUAGUAUACUUUGACAUUAACACUGAGGAAGAAUCUGGGAAAUAGGUGUGAAAUUUGGAAAAUAAUGUUAUUCAAUCAAAGUUAACAGGACUAUAGUGUACAGGAGUGAAUGAGACUUUUCUCCAGUUACUCUUCAAAGGAAUAAAUUAUUUAUUUUAAAUUAUCUGAUGGAAGACUUCACUCAUUAUGGAAAUAAGUGAAUUUAGCAGCCAUGAUCAGCAGGUUUUUUUGUUACUAUUCUUUAAAAGUUAUUGAUUUAGAGGCUAAAAUUGUGUUGAUGCUACUCACAGCUAUUGUUAACUGCAUAGUUUCAUUUGUAUAUAAAUAAUUUUAAUAACUUUGUAUUGAUUUUGAGCACAGUGAAUAUCUUAUUGCAAUAAAAUAUUUUGGUAAAAUA